rnacentral:rRNA from 1 species
UGGGGAAUAUUGGACAAUGGGCGAAAGCCUGAUCCAGCCAUGCCACGUGUGUGAAGAAGGUUUUCGGAUUGUAAAGCACUUUAAGUUGGGAGGAAGGGCAGUUACCUAAUACGUAAUUGUUUUGACGUUACCGACAGAAUAAGCACCGGCUAACUCUGUGCCAGCAGCCGCGGUAAUACAGAGGGUGCAAGCGUUAAUCGGAAUUACUGGCCGUACAGCGCGCGUAGGUGGUUAGUUAAGUUGGAUGUGAAAUCCCCGGGCUCAACCUUGGAACUGCAGUCAAGACUGAAGGACUAGAGUAUGGGAGAGGGUGGUGGAAUUUCCUGUGUAGCGGUGAAAUGCGUAGAGAUAGGACGGAACACCAGUGGCGAAGGCGAACACCUGGACUGAUACUGACACUGAGGUGCGAAAGCGUGGGGAGCAAACA